AAAGACUUGACGGUACUUCACAACACCCUAGAGGAGCCUGUCUAAUAACCGAUACUCCACGAUUAACCCCACCUGUUCUGGCCUAACAGUCUAUAUACCGCCGUCGCCAGCUUACCUUGUGAAAGAAAUAAAGUGAGCAAAACAAACCACCUCUAACACGACAGGUCAAGGUGUAACUAAUGAACAGGCAAAAGAUGGGCUACAUUUUCUAAUGCAGAAAACACGAAUCAAAUCAUGAAACCAUAACUGAAGGCGGAUUUAGUAGUAAGAUAAAAAUAGAAUGCUUAGCUGAAA
rnacentral:rRNA from 1 species